rnacentral:rRNA from 2 species
GGAUCCAGACUUUGAUUAUGGCUCAGGAUGAACGCUAGCUACAGGCUUAACACAUGCAAGUCGAGGGGCAGCGGGAUUGAAGCUUGCUUCAAUUGCCGGCGACCGGCGCACGGGUGAGUAACGCGUAUCCAACCUUCCGUACACUCAGGGAUAGCCUUUCGAAAGAAAGAUUAAUACCUGAUGGUAUGAUGAGAUUGCAUGAUAGCAUCAUUAAAGAUUUAUCGGUGUACGAUGGGGAUGCGUUCCAUUAGGUAGUAGGCGGGGUAACGGCCCACCUAGCCGACGAUGGAUAGGGGUUCUGAGAGGAAGGUCCCCCACAUUGGAACUGAGACACGGUCCAAACUCCUACGGGAGGCAGCAGUGAGGAAUAUUGGUCAAUGGACGAGAGUCUGAACCAGCCAAGUAGCGUGAAGGAUGAAGGUCCUACGGAUUGUAAACUUCUUUUAUAAGGGAAUAAACCCUUCCACGUGUGGGAGCUUGUAUGUACCUUAUGAAUAAGCAUCGGCUAACUCCGUGCCAGCAGCCGCGGUAAUACGGAGGAUGCGAGCGUUAUCCGGAUUUAUUGGGUUUAAAGGGAGCGCAGACGGGUCGUUAAGUCAGCUGUGAAAGUUUGGGGCUCAACCUUAAAAUUGCAGUUGAUACUGGCGUCCUUGAGUGCGGUUGAGGUGUGCGGAAUUCGUGGUGUAGCGGUGAAAUGCUUAGAUAUCACGAAGAACUCCGAUUGCGAAGGCAGCACACUAAGCCGUAACUGACGUUCAUGCUCGAAAGUGUGGGUAUCAAACAGGAUUAGAUACCCUGGUAGUCCACACGGUAAACGAUGGAUACUCGCUGUUGGCGAUAUACUGUCAGCGGCUUAGCGAGAGCGUUAAGUAUCCCACCUGGGGAGUACGCCGGCAACGGUGCAACUCAAAUGAAUUGACGG